rnacentral:misc_RNA from 1 species
CCGUCGCCCACUGCCUCCUCUCCUUCUACCUCGCGCACCCGCCGCCGCUUGCUGUCUCCUCUCUCGCGCGCACCGGUGUUCCCAUCGCCGUCUCCUUAUCUCCCUCGUGCAGCCGCUGUUGUCUCCUCUCCACCCUUGUACCCGCCGCCGCCUCCUCUUCAGAUUUCCUCUUCUUCACCCUCGCUGCCUCCUCUUCACCCUCGCUACGGCCUCCUCAAAUCGUUGAGACAACUAGUACAGUUGAGACAACUGGUGCGAGGUCGGACGGCGGGGACCAUGCGAACAAGCUCGUUGCUGCCUUCUCGGCUCGUGCACCCUCAUCUCAAGAAGUGAAUCGCCUCAGGUGAUACACAAGGGAUUUUCAUCAACAAGUGGUCGCCAGAAGAACUGAAACAUCAAGAUGGCGUUUGCUUUUAGGUCAUGCCAUUCAGGAGAUGAUGUUUUAUUAUUAUGCACUGAGACUAUGUUUGACAUUGGUCGUGUACACUGAGACUGUUUUAUUAUGAUGCACUGAGACUAUGUUUGUGUACA